AACCUGCCCCAGCACAUUAGCACGAUUCGAUGUGUCAGUGACUUUAACUUUUUCGACAAGGUCUUAAGCAUUCUCCCAAGGACUUGUGAUUGUAUUAUCAUGGUGAGGUCAAUUUCUGAAGUACCAAUGCUCAAAAUUUCGUGUGAUGAAAAUCUGUGGCUAUUUAGCGUGUGUAGUGGACCGUCGGCUUACCGUGUCAAAUUCGAUGCAGGGAAUCAGGUUCUGCUGGAUCAUGUAGUCCACCUGCUUGGCAAUCUCAUCAUCGGUCAGUGGGGGCAAGUACGAGAAGGUCUCGAACUUGGGCUGUCCAAUCGGGUUCCACACCUGUCCAAAGUUUCACCGGUUCUCAGCCAACAUCCCAAUAUUACCACAUCACCUCGGCGUUCAUUCAACUUAUAUUACCGACACCAUACGACACAAGAAACGUAGUCACAAGAUAACCAGACAGUAACACGACGAAUAGUAGCUCAGCUCCCUGAGAACUCAGUAUACCUGCAUGCAUUGCACACGGCUGCCAUUCUGCACGGAGCUCAAGGUCUGAGCCUGGGAAGAGAACAAGGUAGCCGACUUCAGACCAGAGAAGGCCUUGACGGAGGUAGAGUCGCGGGAGACGGCAGCAGGCGAGGCUGCGGCCAGAGAGACGGGGGCCACUACAGACGAAGCAACCGCGGACGCCAUUCCUACGGACUUGUCGUGCUCUAGAACAGUGAAAAGCGCGAGGACUGAAGCGAC
rnacentral:lncRNA from 1 species